GACAUUUAUACGACCGGUGCAUUAUUCGCCUUUUUUUAUCGGAACUUUGCCUCUUACGGGUGUUUCGUAUUUUUGAUAUAUAUCGUGGUCAUAAUAUAAUAUUUUUGAAAUUUAAUACUCAUUAUAUCUAUAUGCAUUUAAUUGUAUUCACAUGAAACUAGAUAGCUUUUGGUGUUCUUAGAUAAAUUGUGAUGGUCCAUAUAGUUUGUUUUUGGAAAACAAUUUCCAGAAUAGUAAAAUUGAUUAAAAAGUUUUAUGUAACAUAUGCUUUCGAUUGGGAAUUGUGUAAUAUCUCGUAUACGAGUAUCCUGCUCACGAUGUAUAAUAUGACAGAAAA